rnacentral:misc_RNA from 1 species
AAGUCGUAACAAGGUUUCCGUAGGUGAACCUGCGGAAGGAUCAUUGACGAGAGAGGAGGAGGAUUGUGAAUAGCCGGGGGGGGGAGUGAAUUUUUAAGGAUUUGCAUUUUCUUUCUUGGAAGAAUAAAAGAAUUGAAUUGGUGGAAAAAGAAAAAAAUACAACUUUUAACAAUGGAUCUCUUGGCUCUU